rnacentral:rRNA from 1 species
CCUAGUAACGGCGAGUGAAGCGGCAACAGCUCAAAUUUGAAAUCUGGCCUCUUUGGGGGUCCGAGUUGUAAUUUGCAGAGGGUGCUUUGGCGUUGGCUGUGGUCUAAGUUCCUUGGAACAGGACGUCGCAGAGGGUGAGAAUCCCGUAUGUGGCCGCCAGUCUUCGCCGUGUAAAGCCCCUUCGACGAGUCGAGUUGUUUGGGAAUGCAGCUCUAAAUGGGAGGUAAAUUUCUUCUAAAGCUAAAUAUUGGCCAGAGACCGAUAGCGCACAAGUAGAGUGAUCGAAAGAUGAAAAGCACUUUGGAAAGAGAGUCAAAAAGCACGUGAAAUUGUUGAAAGGGAAGCGCUUGCAGCCAGACUUGCUUGCAGUUGUUCAGCCGGGCUCUUGCCCGGUCUACUCUUCUGCUCGCAGGCCAGCAUCAGUCCGGGCGGUUGGAUAAAGGCCUAUUAAACGUACCUCCCCUCGGGGAGGACUUAUAGGGUAGGCGACAUGCAACCAGCCCGGAUUGAGGUCCGCGCAUCUGCUAGGAUGCUGGCGUAAUGGCUGUAAGCGGCCCGUCUUGAAACACGGACCAAGGAGUCUAACAUCUAUGCGAGUGUUUGGGUGUCAAGCCCGAGCGCGUAAUGAAAGUGAACGGAGGUGGGAACCUUUCGGGGUGCACCAUCGACCGAUCCUGAUGUCUUCGGAUGGAUUUGAGUAAGAGCAUAGCUGUUGGGACCCGAAAGAUGGUGAACUAUGCCUGAAUAGGGUGAAGCCAGAGGAAACUCUGGUGGAGGCUCGCAGCGGUUCUGACGUGCAAAUCGAUCGUCAAAUUUGGGCA